rnacentral:rRNA from 1 species
AUACGUAGGGAGCGAGCGUUGUCCGGAAUUACUGGGUGUAAAGGGAGCGUAGGCGGGAGUGCAAGUCAGAUGUGAAAUACAUGGGCUCAACCCAUGGGCUGCAUUUGAAACUGCACUUCUUGAGUGAAGUAGAGGUAAGCGGAAUUCCUGGUGUAGCGGUGAAAUGCGUAGAUAUCAGGAGGAACACCGGUGGCGAAGGCGGCUUACUGGGCUUUUACUGACGCUGAGGCUCGAAAGCGUGGGGAGCAAACAGGAUUAGAUACCCUGGUAGUCCACGUUGUAAACGAUGAUUACUAGGUGUGGGGGGACUGACCCCUUCCGUGCCGCAGUUAACACAAUAAGUAAUCCACCUGGGGAGUACGGCCGCAAGGUUGAAACUCAAAUGAAUUGACGGGG